rnacentral:ncRNA from 1 species
CUCUGAUCCACAUGGUGGUUCAGGGCAAAAGAG